CUUUCGGGCUGAGUAGAGCGGCGGACGGGUGAGUAACGCGUAGGAAUCUACCUGGUAGUGGGGGACAACUUGGGGAAACUCAAGCUAAUACCGCAUACGCCCUAAGGGGGAAAGCGGGGGACCUUCGGGCCUCGCGCUAUCGGAUGAGCCUGCGUAGGAUUAGCUAGUUGGUGGGGUAAAGGCCCACCAAGGCGACGAUCCUUAGCUGGUCUGAGAGGAUGAUCAGCCACACUGGAACUGAGACACGGUCCAGACUCCUACGGGAGGCAGCAGUGGGGAAUAUUGCGCAAUGGGCGAAAGCCUGACGCAGCCAUGCCGCGUGUGUGAAGAAGGCCUUAGGGUUGUAAAGCACUUUCAAUUGGGAAGAAAAGUUUGUCGUUAAUAGCGCCAAGCUCUGACAUUACCUUUAGAAGAAGCACCGGCUAACUCCGUGCCAGCAGCCGCGGUAAUACGGAGGGUGCGAGCGUUAAUCGGAAUUACUGGGCGUAAAGCGCGCGUAGGCGGUUUGUUAAGUCAGCUGUGAAAGCCCCGGGCUCAACCUGGGAACUGCAGUUG
rnacentral:rRNA from 1 species